AAGUCGUAACAAGGUUUCCGUAGGUGAACCUGCGGAAGGAUCAUUAUCACGUAUCCAAACGUAUAAACCAAUGUGCACCUCUAACAUUCCUCCUUUUGGGUUUCAUGAAGUGGCAGAGAAGUUGAUAUUCUGAUUCAUGGUCUUUCAGAAUUCUCUGUCUUGAUUACUUCACAGUAGUCAGCCUUCUAAUCCGGGAGUCGUAUCAAACCAUGCUUGUUUUACUAACAACUUGUACCUUUCUGAACUAACUUUUGGUUUCGUACGAACAAAACACGCAAGUGCUUUGUUUUGACAGACCUUGAUUUAUAUAAACUCUGAACUACUCUUAACAACGGAUAUCUUGGUUCUC
rnacentral:misc_RNA from 1 species